rnacentral:rRNA from 1 species
AUACGGAGGAUCCGAGCGUUAUCCGGAUUUAUUGGGUUUAAAGGGUGCGCAGGCGGGAGAUUAAGUCGGCGGUGAAAUUUUGCAGCUCAACUGUGAAAGGGCCUUCGAAACUGGUUUCCUUGAGUGUAGAUGAAGUAGGCGGAAUUUUUGGGGUAGCGGGGAAAUGCAUAGAUAUCACGAGGAACUCCGAUUGCGCAGGCAGCUUACUAAACUACUACUGACGCUCAGGCACGAAGGCGUGGGGAUCAAACAGGAUUAGAUACCCUGGUAGUCCACGCAGUAAACGAUGAUUACUAGCUGUUUGCGAUACAAUGUAAGCGGCUGAGCGAAAGCGUUAAGUAAUCCACCUGGGGAGUACGUUCGCAAGAAUGAAACUCAAAUGAAUUGACGGGG